GGAGGGAUUGGAAACGAACGACAAUUUCAAUGAUAUCCGUUGAAACACUCCUUGCCUUGUUACGUAAUCACGUUCUGGCGGGAUUGUAACAAAGAUUUUCUCUGACUCAGUUCUUGCAGACGUUGUUAGAGUCUAACUUAGACUUCUGGGUUAGGCCAGAUGUCCGUGGCUUAACUGUAUUCAUACCUGAAAUGCCGUGAAAAUUUUGAAUCGUCAUUCACGAAAGAAUGAAUUUAGGAUUGCUGUGAGGUCAUUUGUGGAGAUGGUUAGAUAUCUGUUCACAAUACGUACCUGGAGUCAUCAGCAACAGGUUGUGCCAGGACCCCGUUAAAUUGGCCAACAAAGACAGAGGGGUAAAUCCAACGAGAACCCGAAUGUU